UACGUAGGGUGCGAGCGUUGUCCGGAAUUAUUGGGCGUAAAGAGCUCGUAGGCGGUGUGUCACGUCGGCCGUGAAAACCUGCAGCUUAACUGUGGGCGUGCGGUCGAUACGGGCAUCACUGGAGUUCGGCAGGGGAGACUGGAAUUCCUGGUGUAGCGGUGAAAUGCGCAGAUAUCAGGAGGAACACCGGUGGCGAAGGCGGUUCUCUGGGAAUGUCCUGACGCUGAGGAGCGAAAGUGUGGGGAGCGAACAGG
rnacentral:rRNA from 1 species